AUGCCGCGGUGAAUACGUUCCCGGGUCUUGUACACACCGCCCGUCACACCACGAGAGUUUGCAACACCCGAAGUCGGUGAGGUAACCGCAAGGAGCCAGCCGCCGAAGGUGGGGCAGAUGAUUGGGGUGAAGUCGUAACAAGGUAUCCGUACCGGAAGGUGCGGAUGGAUCACCUCCUUUCU
rnacentral:rRNA from 1 species